UUGGGGCGAAGCCUGGUGUCAGGAACUGGAGGUCUUUCACAACCCACAGGCGACGCACCCCAUUCCCUUCGAUCUCAUACCCGGCGCGACCCAUUGGUUCGAGCGCGGCGGCGACGUCGAGUGCAACACCAUGUGGGCGAACUCGGUCAUUUCAUCGAUCACUCAUCUGCGCAUGGCCGGCGCGCAAGGCGAAAGCGAGCGGCC
rnacentral:misc_RNA from 1 species